CACGUAGGGGGCAAGCGUUGUCCGGAUUUAUUGGGCGUAAAGAGCUCGUAGGCGGCUCAGUUAGUCGGGUGUGAAACCCCCGGGCUCAACCCGGGGACGCCACCCGAUACUGCUGUGGCUAGAGUCCGGUAGGGGAGCGUGGAAUUCCUGGUGUAGCGGUGAAAUGCGCAGAUAUCAGGAGGAACACCAAUGGCGAAGGCAGCUCGCUGGGACGGUACUGACGCUGAGGCGCGAAAGCGUGGGGAGCAAACAGG
rnacentral:rRNA from 1 species